CCGGCUGCUGGUAGAGCAGGGGCUGCCCCGGCCCGGCGGGCUGGGUGACCAGGUGCGCGACCUGCUCGGCGACGUUCUGGGCCUCGAUCUGGGCC
rnacentral:tRNA from 1 species